rnacentral:rRNA from 2 species
ACGGAAGGCAGCAGUGGGGAAUAUUGCACAAUGGGCGAAAGCCUGAUGCAGCGACGCCGCGUGAACGAAGAAGUAUUUCGGUAUGUAAAGUUCUAUCAGCAGGGAAGAUAAUGACGGUACCUGACUAAGAAGCACCGGCUAAAUACGUGCCAGCAGCCGCGGUAAUACGUAUGGUGCAAGCGUUAUCCGGAUUUACUGGGUGUAAAGGGAGCGUAGGCGGUUCAUUAAGUCUGAUGUGAAAACCCAGGGCUCAACUUUGGGAUUGCAUUGGAAACUGGUGAACUUGAGUGUCGGAGGGGUAAGUGGAAUUCCUAGUGUAGCGGUGAAAUGCGUAGAUAUUAGGAGGAACACCAGUGGCGAAGGCGGCUUACUGGACGAUAACUGACGCUGAGGCUCGAAAGCGUGGGGAGCAAACAGGAUUAGAUACCCUGGUA